ensembl:snRNA U6 U6 spliceosomal RNA
CAAGCAUUGUCGUGCUUUACAUAUGCUAAAAUUGGAUGAUUUUUAGUCAGAGAAGAUUAGCAUGGCCCCUGCACAAGGAUGACAUGCAGAUUCAUGAAGCAUUCCAUACAAAA